UGUUAGGAAGGUGUACGGGGGUUGCCGUGUGUUUGUAUACCCGUUAUUGUUCAAUAAACAUGCAUUUUAUCGCGGAUGUCUGAAAUUUUCUUCACCACUACUUCUUCUUGCAAUGAAUGAGUGCACCGGCUUUCUACUGUGCCACAGCGCCCCCAUAGCGGUUGGGAGGUGUAUUGCACAUUGGUAGUAAGAGGCACAUGCGCUCCUACAUCAGGUUCAGGUAACGUCCUUUUUAAUUGACCAAUUAUGGGUGAGGUCGAUUUGAGGUCAAAACGUCACAGAGAGAUGAGAACAGAAAAAAAGCCGCAAAGGGGGAAAAAACAUGUAUGUAGUUGGAGUUGAGUGGAUGUUUAGUAGUUUUUCCUAUUUGAUAUGGCUGUUUCGCUCGAGGACGCAUUUGCGUCUCUCCCCAUUCCCCUUAAGGAAGAACAGAAACAAAUCUUCCAACAUUUAAUUGAUGGAAGACAUGUUUUUGGCGUCCUGCCUACAGGGUAUGGAAAAAGUGUUUGCUUCGGAUACUAUGGAGCAAUAAUGGAUAAAGUAAGUCAUUUAAUUACUUAUUUAUUACUUAUUGCCUUUGUUGAGUGGCUGAUAUUAAGUUGUGUUGUUCUAAUAAUAAUAAUAAGAAUAAUAAUAACAAUAAUAAUAAUACACUAGAGUGCUUUUCCAUCAAGAAGAAGCUCAAAGAAACAGGAUAGAGGGAGAAUGGGGGCAAACCUCGUCACAAAAUGAAUAAUUUUAAUUUGCUAAUGUGUAGCAUCCUCCUUGCUGAUGCUAAGGCCAGCAGCUAGUAUACACUACAGCUUAUCAUGUCAUUCUUUUUGAUACUAGGAAAACUAUGACUCACUGAACAUGCAUUUAGAAAACUGUAAGGAAUAGCAGAUUUUUUUUUCAAUACUACUAGUGUAAUUGUGCUGCUUUUAUUUAUUAUUAGUGUGUUGUUGUGUAUGCUGCUCUUAACUUGUGUGUUUUUUAUACUCUGAUUUUUAUUUAUUGUCUAUAACUGUUUUGUGUUUAUCUGCUGGAUACCUGAAUUUUCCCACGGGUAUGAAUAAAGUAUCUAUCUAUUUAUCUAUCUAUCUAUCUAUCUAUCACCAAAAGUAGUAAUUGUCUCUGAAAAAUCAACUUUUUAGCUUCAUCCUGAGGAAAAGCACAUUGUGCUUGUCAUCAGUCCUCUCAAGGCCCUGAUGAAGGACCAGGUGAGCCGCAGAUUAAAAGUGCUGCAGUCACCAGAGACAUGUCUGCAGAAGACAAACAGUCUAUUCUGGACAGCAACAUGAACCUUGUGUUUAUGUCCCCUGAGGCUGCAGCGGACACCUUAUGGUUUGGCUGGGUGAGGCAGAAUAAAGAAAAGAUCUGCCUCUUGGCAAUCGAUGAGGCUCACUGCCUUACAAGCUGGGGAAAAAGCUUUCGGGGGGAGACUACCUAAGGAUCCCCAGUCUGAGGAUAUAUAUCACAGCGCUAGUCCUGCUACUGACGGCGACAGUGACCCAGGACAUGGUCACUGAGAUUCUAAACCUCCUCCGCCUGGAACCACCCCAAGUGACAAUGGUCAUCUACCUUCCCGACAGGCCCAACAUUUUCCUGGAUGUCCAAAGGACGAAAGAUGAGGACAUCACUAGGGUUGGGUACCGAAACUCAGUACUUUUUGUACUUGGUACCGAUUCACGUUGGUACUACCGAGUACCAAUUCACUUAAAAUGAAACAGUGCCAAAUUUCGGUACCU